UAUUUUGACUAUACAAAGGUAUUGUAAUAAGACUUUAAUUGAGUGCUAAGAGAAUGGAUUUUCAAAAAAAUUCUUUUUUAAGUUUAAAAAUUAAAGUUAUUUUUAUUUGCGAAGAAACAAUAAUAAAAAUUAAAGACAAGAAGACCCUAUGAAUUUUUAUAAACUUUAAUAUUUAAUUAAAUAUUAAAGUUUAUUUCAUUGGGGCGAUUGAGAAAGAUAAAAAACUUUUUUUUUAUUUAAAGAGAUCCAUUAUUAAUGAUUUUAUGUAAAAAAUGCUCUAGGGAUAACAGCGUAAUAAUUUUAGAUAGAUCUUAUAGAAAAAAUAGUUUGCGACCUCGAUGUUGGAUUAGGAUACUUGUUUAAUGAAGAAGUUAAAUAAAGAAGUUUGUUCAACUUUUAAAAUCCU
rnacentral:rRNA from 1 species